rnacentral:RNase_P_RNA from 1 species
GGCAAUCCCUGUUCUAUCGCUGUUGGAAAUUAUCCCAAAAGAGGAAAGUCCGGACAACACAGAGCACCAUACUACCUAACGGGUAGGCAAUAUAAUUUAUUAUAUUGACAGAAAGUGCCACAGAAAAUAACCGCCUUGUUUAAGGUAAGGGUGAAAACGUGAGGUAAGAGCUUACGCUGUAUCUUAGCAAUAAGAUAUUGGGGCAAACCUUAUGGGUUGAAAGACCAAAUAUAUCAGUUAAAAAGUUGCUCGCUUUAACAACUGAGGGGUAGGUCGUUUUAGACUUAUUGUGAGAUAAGUCAUAGAUUAAUGAUAGAAGCCUUAUUUUAAGGAACAGAAUCCGGCUUAUAGGGGAUUGCUUUGU